rnacentral:rRNA from 1 species
UACGUAGGUGGCAAGCGUUGUCCGGAUUUACUGGGCGUAAAGAGCGCGCAGGCGGUCGUUCAAGUCGCGUGUGAAAGCCCCCCGGCUCAACUGGGGAGGGUCACGCGAUACUGAUCGACUCGAAGGCAGGAGAGGGAAGUGGAAUUCCCGGUGUAGUGGUGAAAUGCGUAGAUAUCAGGAGGAACACCAGUGGCGAAGGCGGUGCUCUGGGCCGGAACUGACGCUGAGGAGCGAAAGCGUGGGGAGCAAACAGG